rnacentral:lncRNA from 1 species
CAGUACGAUAAAGCCGAGAACACACUAUCGGCACGGUACGUCACGUUAUGAGCUGGCGCAUACCGCACCCUUACUUCAAAAGUGACACAACUCAAAAAUCCUUAAUUUUGAGUUAAUAUUAUCCUUCGCUUUCCCAAGAGUUAAUAUACCUCUCAACAAAACUGCAUUAAAUUAGCUUUAUUAGUUUUCCGAUAGAUGGCGCUUGUAACGCUUUUCACGAUUUAAAGCGGGUCAAGGCGACCGUUUGAGAAGUGUCACAUUUUUAGUUUAUCUCUUGCGGCUCUCCGUUACGCAUGGACACCUUAAUUUAAAAGUGUAUUAUUUUGAGUUGUGCCAGUUUUGUUGUUUGAGACGUGUUGAACCUAGAUGUGCUAUUUUUACUUGUGUCACUUUAGAAGAUCAAGGUGUGUUCAACAUGAAUAUCUCCGAGAGGACAGCUAGGAUCCUUAAAAUGGCUUCUCAAAAUAAAAUCAGUUCAAUCGAUACUACUAAAUGACAUGAUUCAUCAGAUCCAAAUACAAAAGAAACCGCAAUUCAGUAUUCCACAGUUGAAGCCUCUGAUUUUACUACAAACAGAAACAUUGGCAAUGAAAACCAAAUGAGUCCAGAACCGAGUAAAAUUGUAUCACUAGAACCUUCCGUGCAUGCUGCUACUGCUGAAUUUCCUGUAACAAAUUCUCCAAAAGGUAACACUCAUUUAGACGAACUAUUGGGAUACACAACAAGUCUGUUGAAAGCAGAACAAAGAACUGAUAAUUUCGAAUUCGACGAACAAAUUGCAGAGACAGACUGUGAUGUUGGAUUUAAUAUCAAUAAUAAAUUGGGCAUUAUUGUUAACAAGGAAACUGCCGUUACUCUUGAAGGCUCUUCGUCUGACAACAACACUGUGUUUUAAAUGUGGACCAUUAUCAAAAUGAUAGUCAGAUGUAUAAAGUGUCCAGUAAUUCGGAACGACCCACUGUUCUACGUUUGACCAAAGUCAAUUCAGAAAAUUAUUAUGUGUCACCGAUUGACAGCAAUGAAAGUGAUAUUGACGACUCAGAUGCUGAUCCUGACUUUCCAGAUAAUUUAGAAAAAAGUAGUUCUUCGUCUACCCAAGAAGAUGAAGACCAGUCUAGUAACAGGGAAGACAAUAGUAUUGAAACUGUGGAAGAUAAAAAGGGAAAAAAGCGAAAAUGACAACAAGAAAAUUGGGGAGUUAAUAAAACUAAGAAGUUAAGGAAUUCGGGGAAGGCAUACUUAUCGUCAUCACAAAGUAAAAAAAAAGUACUCUGAAGGGAAACUGCGUCCACCUUGCGACGAAAAGUGCAGGCUGGGUUGUAGCAAAAAAAUUUGUGAAACGAUUAGAAAAAAAAUAUUUUCCAGUUACUGGGAAUUAGCCGAUUUACAAAAAAAAAGACUGUUUAUUGUUGCUCAUACUAAUUCUAUUAAACCGAAAUAUCGAUACUCUUGCACUGAAAAUUAUAGGAUGAUGAAUUCGGCUUUUUAUUUUGAAGUAAACAAUAAUGGACUUAGGGUAUGUAAAUCCUUUUUUAAGGCAACACUUGACAUAAACGACCGACCGAUUCGAACAGCCUUAUUAAAAAAGACAGAAAAUGGAUUUGUCACAGGAGAUAGGCAAGGAAAACACGGUAAACAGCCUACUAUUGCACCUGAAAUUAAGAAAAGUGUAAGAGAUUUUAUAAAUGCAGUUCCAAGAAUAGAAUCGCAUUAUUUAAGAGCACAAACAAGCCGAGAAUAUAUUGAAAGAGCAAAAAGCUUGGCAUACUUAUAUCGCGAUUACAAAGAAGAAUGAGAAAAACUUGAACUUCCUUAUGCAAGUUAUAUUAUGUUUAAUCAUACAUUUAAUGGAGAAUUCAACAUUUCGUUUUAUUCGCCAAAGAAAAAUCAAUGUGAUCAAUGUGAGACCGACAAGAAUGCGGAGGAAAGGGAAAAACAACAACUCAAAAAAGCGUAUGAUGUUCAUCUUAAGGAAAAAGAGUUGAGUCGCAAGGGAAAAGAGAGAGACAAGAAUGCAAACACUGACUUGAAUGUAGCUGUAUAUGACUUGCACGCCGUAGUGCCUUUACCAAAAGGUCAAGUUUCUUUAUUUUAUUAUAAAAGCAAGCUUAACUGCUACAAUUUUACUAUAAGUGACCUAAAUGCAAAAAAUGUAAUAUGCUAUUUUUGGAAUGAGACUGAAGGAAAACGGGGGGCAAAUGAAAUAGGCAGUUGUGUCCUACAGUAUCUUAAAGAUUUUUUCGAAAAGAACAAUAAUGGAAACAUGGAAUUUAUUUUCUAUUUAGAUAACUGCUGCGGGCAACAAAAAAACAAAUACCUACUUGCUGCCUAUACUUAUGCAGUUGCAAUUUUCCCAAUAAAGAGUAUCACCCACAAGUUUCUGAUACAUGGACACUCCCAAAAUGAAGGUGACAAUGUACAUAUAGUGUCAUAGAAAAGCAAAUUAAGAGGCACAUGAAAUCCGGCCCAAUUUAUGUAUCGGAACAGUACUCUACACUCAUUCGUACAGCAAAAAAAAUGGCCCACCUUACAUAGUUCACGAACUAACUUAUGAGAGCUUUUACGAUUUAAAAAUCGUAAAAUUUGGGAAGUAAUUUCAAUAUCGACGUCAAUAAACACAAAGUUAAGUGGCAUGGAAUGAGACUGAAGGAAAACGGGGGGCAAAUGAAAUAGGCAGUUGUGUCCUACAGUAUCUUAAAGAUUUUUUCGAAAAGAACAAUAAUGGAAACAUGGAAUUUAUUUUCUAUUUAGAUAACUGCUGCGGGCAACAAAAAAACAAAUACCUACUUGCUGCCUAUACUUAUGCAGUUGCAAUUUUCCCAAUAAAGAGUAUCACCCACAAGUUUCUGAUACAUGGACACUCCCAAAAUGAAGGUGACAAUGUACAUAUAGUGUCAUAGAAAAGCAAAUUAAGAGGCACAUGAAAUCCGGCCCAAUUUAUGUAUCGGAACAGUACUCUACACUCAUUCGUACAGCAAAAAAAAUGGCCCACCUUACAUAGUUCACGAACUAACUUAUGAGAGCUUUUACGAUUUAAAAAUCGUAAAAUUUGGGAAGUAAUUUCAAUAUCGACGUCAAUAAACACAAAGUUAAGUGGCAUGAUAUAAAAGUACUGAGAGUUGAAAAGGAAGACCCAAGGAGAUUUUAUUAUAAAACGUCGUAAGAAGAUAUUAAUUUCAGAUCAGUUGAUAUGCUCAAAAAAACCCGUUCUCGAGAAAAUUAAAAUUUUGAAUCUGUUAGUCUGUCUGGAGCUUAUGUCGAAAGAAUUCCUUUAGCGGAAAAUAAAAAAAAAGACCUAAAAGAGUUAGUUGACAGAAACAUUAUACCCAAAUACUAUUAUAAUUCAUUUUAUAAAGAAAUUAUUGACUAAAAUUUCAGUUAUAUACGACUGUAAAUUUUGGUAGUUCUAUUGUUAUUCCUAGAUUAGCCUAAUAAUAUUCAAAACUGUUUUGUGUAUUUUAGCUGGUAAAAUGUCCAUUAGUAACUUUUUAGUAUUUUUUUUUUUUAGAAGUUAAGUGACUUGACUUUUACUUUUGAUAUGUUUAUUAUUUAGUACCAAAGAUAUCCUGUGUUACUAGUUUUGUUUCGAACUUUGUUUCCAUAAUUCUAGUUUUUAAGGGUAUUAAUUAUAGCCAAGUUCUGUUAUCUCUAGUGAAGCGAGGUAAGAGCUAACUCUACUGAGGUUUACCUUAAUUUUUAUUUCAAUGUAACCUUAAAAUAUGUAUUAACUAAAAAUAAAUAAAAAGGAGUUUUUUUAUGUUU